rnacentral:rRNA from 1 species
CCCCCCAAAAACCAAAAAUGUGAUGGGGUUACCCCAAGUGUUCAAUUUGAACUGGGGGAGGUGAGUAAUGGCCCCCCUUUGAAAGGAGAGGGUAAGGGUGGUGCCAGCCGCCGCGGCUUUACCAGCUCUUCAAGUGUCGGGAUAAUUAUUGGGCUUAAAGUGUCCGUAGCCGGUUUAGUAAGUUCCUGGUAAAAUCGGGUAGCUUAACUAUCUGCAUGCUAGGAAUACUGCUAUACUAGAGGGCGGGAGAGGUCUGAGGUACUACAGGGGUAGGGGUGAAAUCUUAUAAUCCUUGUAGGACCACCAGUGGCGAAGGCGUCAGACUGGAACGCGCCUGACGGUGAGGGACGAAAGCCAGGGGAGCGAACCGGAUUAGAUACCCGGGUAGUCCUGGCCGUAAACGAUGCAUACUAGGUGAUGGUACGGCCAUGAGCCGUAUCAGUGCCGUAGGGAAACCGUUAAGUGUGCCGCCUGGGGAGUACGGCCGCAAGGCUGAAACUUAAAGGAAUUGGCGGGGGAG